CAGACAGAAAAGUGUGUUCAGGAGCAGUGAUGCAGCUGGAGGUCCAGGACCUUGGUAGAUCCAGUCAGGUGGGACCCGCCCUGAUAAAAGACUGACAGAUUAUAUUUUCACUGUUUUGACCCAAAAACAUAAUGGUAAAUGAAAUUGCUUUUAAAAUGAAGUUAAAAUGUAGUUAAAUCAGACGAGGAAUUGGAAUGUCAUUUAUUAUCAUGAAUGAUUAAUUAAUAAAUACACUUUAAAAAUGCAAGGCAGGAAUGCAGAUUGAACUGACAUUUGAAUUAUGGAACCAAAUAACAUGAAAAUUUAAAAUCCAAUAGAUUCUGCUUUGAUUAAAAGAUUUGAUUUUUAAAAAUGGCAGAUUAAAUUACACUUCUUCAUCUUGAAUCCUAUUGUAAAACGCGUUUUUAAAUGACAUGAAGGUUCAAGAAAACAAAGUUGCUGAUUCAUGAAAACUUGGAAAAGAGACAUUAUGAACCUGUAGCACAGAAAAUCCUCGUCUAUGUUAAAGAUAAAUACACAAUGAGUCCAGAUUUAAUAAAAAAAAUUAACUGGGAUUACCACUUUGGCCCUCAAGAACUGAAGAUCAGGACUGCUUCAGAACUAGUUCAGAUAGUUAAUAGCACAUUUGAUGGGUUCAACACAGAUUCAGAUGAACACUGAAUAGGACAGAAAAGAAAAACAGCAUUCAGUUGUUCGAUGGAAAUAUUUUGUCAACCCAAUAUGUCAACCCAAAUAAUCCUGCCAUUUUUAGAGCAGCUCGGUGGAGAUUUAGAUCAUUUUCUGGCUGCACUAAACUCCAAAGGUGCUCAGAAUGCUGCUGAGAUUUUCAAUCAGCAGAGUCAACAGAGGAAAAGUCAGCCAUCUGUCCUGACAACUCACUAAUGUUCACAUCCAUCACACAGAGCUCCCAUUUCUCAAAGUCACAGACAGUUUGAAAACUCUUCUACCAGCUUGGACAUUAUAUCACAAUAUCUGUGUACAUUAAGCACGUUUCCUGUCCCUGAAUUGCCUUUCAGCCUCUUUGCAACUGAGGGGAAGUGCUAAAAUCUUUUGUUUUUAAUUUGCUGGAUCUGUAAAUUGAGCUAAAUUUAGCUCCAACGUCUGAACUCUGCGAUUGUAACCAUCAAGUCACAGCUUCAUAUCAACCUGCCUGUCAGCCACACAGCCGCCACAACUCCCCCGGUCCCUCAGUCAUCAGCGGCCGCUGGAGGCGACGCGCCGGGAGCUUCAAGCAUCGGAACAGAGAAUGGCCCUUCGGGUAAAUUCAAUGGAGACUCGAGCAAUGCAUGGGCUUCCUCAUGCAGUGUGAUCUGUUUCUGGGCCAACAAUCAAGCCUUUCUCCCACAGAAGAUGCUAAAGGCUCCCUGGGUGUCUGCCUCCUGACCACGACAGUGGAUAGCUGCGCUCUGGACUUGAGGUGUGUUACCCUUCCACUCCGAUCCUGCACUCACACAGCAGCUGCGGGAGGUGUUUAAUCAUGCCGCAGAUGGCAAGGACCCCAGGAAGCAGAAAUACAGGAUCAUGCAGGGGCAACAGACCGCAGCCGCCUACUCUUUACAAUUCCAGACUCAGGCAGCACUCCUGGCCUCACACAUCAACACUAAAUAUACUCACAUGCAUUUAUCUGACAUUCUUUGGUCCAUUCGAGCCAGAUGACAACAUAUCUGUGUCCUUGGGUGAGGACCACACUGAUUGAAGUCUGUCGACAGCCCGUGAGACCAGGUCUCCGGAGGAAAGUCCGUCGUAGUGAAUUCUACGCCGGCCAAUCGACUGGUCUGAUCCCUGGGUCCAGAUUGACGUUAUUCUUUAACCAGUCAGACCACAACGACAAGGCAAGUAAAGCGCUUUUUCAGGGGUUCGAGUCCCCGAAGUGGCCCAGAAUUCUGAGGAACAGGUUCAAGUCCUGUUGCCUAAAACACGUGUGGGUUUGGAGUCCCCGAAAAGUCCAGAAUUCUGAAUAAAGGUGUGGGUUCGAGUCCUACAGCCUAAAACGCGUAAGAGGGUUCAAGUCCCUGAAAGGCCUAGAAAAAGAACAACAAAAAUAAAUAAAAAGUUUUUUUUGGUGUGAAUGUGAGUGCAUGUGUGAAUGGAGUGAACUUGUUCGAAGCAGUGGGCAGCUCGAAACCUUGCGGUGUUAACACAAGGCUGCUUGUUGAAGUAGAACAAGAUUUCAUCUCAUUAGGCUUUAGGUGAAAAGAACCCAGAGUCUAAAACGGGUUUUGCUCCUGGAAGGACCCUAAACGUGUGACCGGAUCAGACAAUAGGUCUGACCUAGAAGCUUGUUGCACGGGGAGUGAAAUUCGGUCCUGAGAGAAAUUCUCUGUUGGUUCUGAUCACACUUUUCGACUAACGUAAAUAAAAAAGAUAAAACCAAAGGGGGAUUUCAAAUAGAAAAGUUGAAUUAACAUGAGAUUAAAAAUAUAUGGAAAGAGUUCAUCCAGAUUCAACUACAUUCUUGAUAAAAUGGGAUGAAAACUACAAUUUUAAGGGGAAUGUACUGAAUUAGUUAAAAGGUUACAAAUUAAAAACAAAAUAAAAAAGAAACAAAAAAAUAGUGAAGAAUUUAUUUGUGCAAAACUGUGCUUAAAUGAAGCAACGAAAAAUAAAGAAUGGCAUUCAGAAAAGUAAAACUAGUGAAGCAUGUCUGAUUGCUAAAAAAGGGGAGGAAAUCAGUUGUGAGACCCCUGCAACAGCAGGCUACAGCGGGCUGCAGACCGAGCAGGGGCAGGAUGAAAAGGGGGGGAGAGCAGAAACCAGCUGAUUUCUCACCUCCUCUCUACCAGGGGACAAAUGCUCCUCUGUUGACGGGUUUUUACCCACCACUGACUGAUUUAAAUAAACCAGAAAAAGGAAAAAUGAUGUUAAGAGGAAAAGGGAAAAAACUUGAAUGGAGUACAACUAUGGGGGUUGGUUUGGAAGAAACUGGAGAGUCAUCUGAACCCAAUGAUUGAAGUGUCCAAUCCCAGAGCUGGGGAAGAUGGCCAGAGGCCUACACUUCUUGUGUUUAGGACCUGGACAUUAGAGGAUGUUAGGAAGGCAGUGAGGGGAGUAAUCUCUCACAGGGAAAAUCCACAGGACUUUCACGGGCAGAUGAUGGAAGUUCAGAGAGCUUACCAUCUGAAUGGCAUUAAAUGUCAGCAAGCAUGUAUGACUGCUAUGAAGACUGGGCAAAAGUAAAGGAAUCCUAUGAAUGAUGACGAUCCACCCAGACCUCUUCCGCAUAACAAUCUAAGAGAUGAUUCAAAGUCUAACACUUUUAGGACAAAGAAUUAGAGAAGCCUUUCCAAUGAGACCUGAUUAUGGAAAGAUUGGUCAAACUAAACAAAAAGAUGGAGAGUUAGUGUCUGAUUUUAGAGUCAGAUUUGAAGAAGUUUUAAAGCUAAUAGUGGACUCAGAGAUAAUGAUAAUGAUGAAAGUCCCUAUAGACAGUAGCUGAAACAAGCUUUACUGCAAGCUAUGAGACCAGAGAUUGCAGACUGGAUAAGGAAGCAUUACAUUGAUCUACUUACAGGAGCACUACAACAGUUUAUGAAUUUUGCUGUUCAUGCAGAAAACAGUGAUGGUGAAUAAGAAGAAAUUUAGGUGUAGUUACAUUUUGGCAGGAGGAAAGUAGUGAUGUGUUUUUUGGAAGGAAUGUGAAGAGAGGAAGAGAUCGUGGUCGUGGAAAAGGAAAUUUUAAAGAAAAUUUUUGAGGAAAGGUUUAGAGGAAGUAGCAACAGAGGGUCAGAGCAGGUUGAUGAUGGAUGUUGGAUUUGUAGACAGAGAGAUCAUUGGGAGAGAGAGAUUGUCCUGAAAGGAAGAAAUCAGAUUGAUUAGAUGGUAAAAGAAAUGACAAGAUAAAAGAUGAAUCAGAACUAGAAAUUCAACCAAUUAGUGAUGAAUUUUUAGAUCUCACUGAAAGAGAAAUUGUUUUUGUUGAUGGGUCAGCAAAGAAAGAUGAAACGGGCAGAAACAAAGUGGGUUUUGCUGUUGUAACUCAAGAUAAGGUUUUGAAGGCAGGACCCCUGCCUGGAAAUUACUCAGCACAAUCAGCAGAGUUGACAGCUUUAACUGAAGCAUGCAAACUGUUUAAAGAUAAGCCAGUUACGAUCUAUACUGAUAGCCAAUAUGCGUUUGCUACUGUGCAUUUAUUUUGUCAACAGUGGAAGAACAGAGGGUUUAAGACAUCAACAGGAAAACCAGUUACACAUGUAGACUUACUGAAAGAAUUAUUGACUGCUGUAAUGUUACCAUCUAAAGUGGCAAUAUGUAAAUGCGAGGGACACACACGAAAAACAGAUCAAAUUUCUAAAGGGAAUGCCUUUGCAGAUGCAACAGCAAAGCAAGCUGCAACAAAAGAUGUAGAAAUAUGCAUUAAUGAGGAUGUGACUGCAGAUGCAACGGCUGAUGUUUUAAAGAAAUGCAACACAGCGCACUACAACAAGAAAGAUCUAUGGUUGAAAAAGGGAGCAAAGUUAGAACAAGGUCUUUAUAUCAGCACAGAAGGAAAACCUAUUUUACCAAAAUCCAUGUACAAAUGGGUAGCAAUUUUGAGUCAUGGGCCUUGCCAUGUCUCAACAGGGGGGAAGAUGAAGUUAUUAGAGAAGUAUUAUACAACUUAUGGAUUUAUUUUCUAUUCAAAACUUUUUUGUAAACAAUGUGUUACAUGUAUGCGUCAUAAUCCCCAAGGCAAUGUUAGACCUAAGAGAGGAAAAUUUCCUGAACCACCUUUUCCUUUCCAUACAAUCCAUAUGGAUUUUAUUGAAUUCAAUAAAAGUAAAGGAUUGAAAUAUUGUUUAGUGAUUAUUGAUGCAUUUUCCAAAUGGGUUGAAAUUUUUCCAUGUGCAACACAAGACGCUAUUACAGUAGCUAAAGGGAUUUGUAAAAGAAUAAUCCCAACUUUUGGCAUACCACAAGUGAUAAGAAGUGAUAAUGGUACACAUUUUGUAAAUCAAGUGAUAGACAAAAUGGCUCAACAUCUUUUGUAUUGAUUUAUAGAGACAUUGUAGUUAUCACCCACAGAGUGCAGGAUUAGUUGAGAGAACUAAUGGCACUAUCAAAUCAAAGUUAAAGAAAUGCAUGGAAGAGAUAAACAGACAGUGGCCUGAUUGCAUAGACUUAGUUCAACUAAGCAUGCGUAUCACACGCACAGCAGGUCAACCUUUAACGCCUUUUGAAAUGUUGUAUGGACGUUCUUAUAGGUUACCAGAUCUUGAUCCUACACGGCAACAUUCUCCAGAUGAUGAUGCCAAUUUAGUGGAUUAUUUGAGAAAAAUGUUUACCACUGUUUACCAGAUGUGCAAAGGACAAAUCACGUGCCAGAUUCCUUUUUAUCUCCACAGGACACUUCACCAGUGCAGGUUGGUGACUGGGUGUUUGUGAAGGCCAUAAAAAGGAAGUGUUGGUCCAGCCCACGGGGGGAAGGGCCAUUCCAAGUCCUGCUGACUACACCAACAGCUGUAAAGAUUGCUGAAAGGACGUCUUGGAUCCAUCUAUCACACUGCAAGAAAAAGCAUCUGGGUGAGGCUAACUCCAACUGCUAGGUGGGGAAGUCUGACUACAAAGGGAGGCAGCUGUAUAGAAGCUGCUUGUCUCAACGUCAGCAAAGCCGAGAGAUCCACCUAGUCUUAGGGAAGAAAGCACACCAGAACUCUUUUGCACUACACGGAUCCUACACUGUUAGAGGACUUGAGGAGGUGAUGUGCUAGUAACCUCUCCCUCCCGAAGAUAGGCACAUAUCCACCAUGGCGUGUCCAACUGGGCUAAGAGACAGUUUAUUUUGUUUACUGUUCCUGCUAUUCCUGACAGGAGCAACCACAAGGAUUUGGUUCUUUUGGAAUCAUUAUCCACCUGCAAGAAGAACCACCAACGAGGAAAGAAACAUUUCUCGACGAUGGCUGAGUAUUGAUGAACAUGAUGUUUUGAAUAGUCCAAAAAUGAACAUAACUCACCUGUAUAUGACAAAUUCUUGGUAUAGGUAUGUUAUGUUACUGACUAAAGAAAGGAAUAGAUCUGAUUGCUAUGUUUGUUCUGUAAUUCCAGCUUCAUCCCUACAUCCUAAUUUACAGGCAAAGCAAUUUUCUGAGUGGAAAAGCGACUGUGUUAUUGAAUAUCAUACCAGAGGGUAUAUUAGUACUGGAGCCGUCACCACUUCAAAUGGAACUCUUGUAAGACCGAGUUGCAAGAGUUUGUAUCAGUUUAAAAAACUGAAAUUGAAAAAAUCAUUUGCUCCAUAUGCUAGUGUGGAACCAGGAACUGUGUUUCCACAUUGCGUAACUAACAAUGGAACAGUGUUUUUAGGAACUUUGCCGAGUAAGAUGUGUCAUGAACUUCUUGUUCCCUUCACAGUCUAGAUAAUCAAUGACAGAGUUUCCCAUGGUUAUGCUGUUCCCUGCCCCAGAGGACGUUGUGUUGGAUCUAAUCCAGAUUUAAUGCCAGGUAACAAUGGUACUUAUGUGGUUGAUCAAAUGUUUUGGUUUUGUGGGCAGGCCCUCUACCUCAGUCUGCCUAGAGACUGGAGUGGGAUUUGUGCUCCCGUAAAGGUCACAGGUCACACUUUCAUAGGUUCUGCAGUCCAUGAGCUUCACCUACGCCACAGACGUAACCUUAUUGAUGUCAAGCCACAUGAUUCCAUUUGAGGAUCACAUGUUCCUGGAGACCAUAAACACUGGAAUACUGGGGACAAGGUAACUAUGGCAUUGUUUCCCUGAGUGGGAAAUGCUAAAACGCUCUCAGAAUUGAGACCAUUGAUUAUUGAUUAGGUUUAUUUUUGAACGCUACAAUUAAAGCAUUUAAAGGCUAUAAUGAAGAAAUGUCAAGCAUGAGACUUAUUGUUCUAGAAAACAGAUUGGUAUUGGACUUAUUGGUUGCUCAGGAAGGAGGUGUUUGUAAAAUGUUAAAUGAUACCUGUUGUACAUUUAAUCCUGACAACACCAAUGAAGGUCACAGCAUCACAGAAGCAUUACAUCAACUUGAAAUGGUUCAGCAGGCAAUGCAGGAUGACAGGAAACCCCAAUCUUGGGAUUUCUUCUCCUGGUUUGCUUUUGGUUCAUGGUGGCAACUUUUGUUAAAAAUAGUGACACCUAUUCUUAUGGUACUGAUCAUAUGUUAUGUGUUCACUAUGUGCAUUUUUCCUUGUAUUCAAUCUAUGAUUUCCAGAGCAGUGAAUUGUGGAGUACAAAGUGUUCUUAUGAUUUAAGAAUACAACUUGUUAUUAAAGGGAGAACAAGAUGACUGUAAUGAUUUUGAAAUUGAAAUUACUUGA